rnacentral:rRNA from 1 species
GGACUACUGGGGUAUCUAAUCCCGUUUGCUCCCCUGGCUUUCGCGCCUCAGCGUCAGAAGAGGUCCAGCAGACCGCUUUCGCCACCGGCGUUCCUUCCGAUAUCUACGCAUUUCACCGCUCCACCGGAAGUUCCGUCUGCCCCUACCUCCCUCCAGCCCGCCAGUAUCAGAAGCACUUCUCCGGUUGAGCCGGAGGAUUUCACCCCUGACUUGGCGGGCCGCCUACGCGCCCUUUAAGCCCAGUGAAUCCGAACAACGUUCGCACGGUUCGUCUUACCGCGGCUGCUGGCAC